rnacentral:rRNA from 1 species
UACGUAGGGGGCAAGCGUUGUCCGGAUUUAUUGGGCGUAAAGAGCUCGUAGGUGGUUUGGUAAGUCGGAUGUGAAAUCUCCAGGCUCAACCUGGAGGGGUCAUUCGAUACUGCCAUGACUAGAGGUCGGUAGGGGAGUGUGGAAUUCCUGGUGGAGCGGUGAAAUGCGCGGAUAUCAGGAGGAACACCCGUAGCGAAGGCGGCACUCUGGGCCGAUACUGACACUGAGGAGCGAAAGCGUGGGGAGCGAACAGG